rnacentral:rRNA from 1 species
AUUGAACGCUGGCGGCAGGCUUAACACAUGCAAGUCGAACGAUGACUCUCUAGCUUGCUAGAGAAGAUUAGUGGCGGACGGGUGAGUAACAUUUAGGAAUCUGCCUAGUAGUGGGGGAUAGCUCGGGGAAACUCGAAUUAAUACCGCAUACGACCUACGGGUGAAAGGGGGCGCAAGCUCUUGCUAUUAGAUGAGCCUAAAUCAGAUUAGCUAGUUGGUGGGGUAAAGGCCUACCAAGGCGACGAUCUGUAACUGGUCUGAGAGGAUGAUCAGUCACACCGGAACUGAGACACGGUCCGGACUCCUACGGGAGGCAGCAGUGGGGAAUAUUGGACAAUGGGGGCAACCCUGAUCCAGCCAUGCCGCGUGUGUGAAGAAGGCCUUUUGGUUGUAAAGCACUUUAAGCAGGGAGGAGAGGCUAAUGGUUAAUACCCAUUAGAUUAGACGUUACCUGCAGAAUAAGCACCGGCUAACUCUGUGCCAGCAGCCGCGGUAAUACAGAGGGUGCGAGCGUUAAUCGGAAUUACUGGGCGUAAAGCGAGUGUAGGUGGCUCAUUAAGUCACAUGUGAAAUCCCCGGGCUUAACCUGGGAACUGCAUGUGAUACUGGUGGUGCUAGAAUAUGUGAGAGGGAAGUAGAAUUCCAGGUGUAGCGGUGAAAUGCGUAGAGAUCUGGAGGAAUACCGAUGGCGAAGGCAGCUUCCUGGCAUAAUAUUGACACUGAGAUUCGAAAGCGUGGGUAGCAAACAGGAUUAGAUACCCUGGUAGUCCACGCCGUAAACGAUGUCUACUAGCCGUUGGGGUCCUUGAGACUUUAGUGGCGCAGUUAACGCGAUAAGUAGACCGCCUGGGGAGUACGGCCGCAAGGUUAAAACUCAAAUGAAUUGACGGGGGCCCGCACAAGCGGUGGAGCAUGUGGUUUAAUUCGAUGCAACGCGAAGAACCUUACCUGGUCUUGACAUAGUGAGAAUCCUGCAGAGAUGCGGGAGUGCCUUCGGGAAUUCACAUACAGGUGCUGCAUGGCUGUCGUCAGCUCGUGUCGUGAGAUGUUGGGUUAAGUCCCGCAACGAGCGCAACCCUUUUCCUUAUUUGCCAGCGGGUUAAGCCGGGAACUUUAAGGAUACUGCCAGUGACAAACUGGAGGAAGGCGGGGACGACGUCAAGUCAUCAUGGCCCUUACGACCAGGGCUACACACGUGCUACAAUGGUAGGUACAGAGGGUUGCUACACAGCGAUGUGAUGCUAAUCUCAAAAAGCCUAUCGUAGUCCGGAUUGGAGUCUACAACUCGACUCCAUGAAGUCGGAAUCGCUAGUAAUCGCAGAUCAGAAUGCUGCGGUGAAUACGUUCCCGGGCCU